GAUACACGAUUACUACUACGGGUUCCAGCUUCAUGUGGGCGAGUUGCAGCCCACAAUCCGAACUAAGGGUGGGUUUAGGAGAUUGCCUUCACCUUUCGGUGUCGAUACCCAUUGUCCCACCCAUUGUAGCCCGCGUGUAGCCCGGAUAAUUCGGGGCAUGCUGACCUACCGUUGCCCAUUCCUUCCUCCUCUUUAGCAGAGGCGGUCCCAACAGUGUCCCCUCCAUCCCUGAGGACGAGCUGGCAACUGUUGGCGUGGGUCUCGCUCGUUGCCUGACUUAACAGGAUGCUUCACAGUACGAACUGACGAC
rnacentral:rRNA from 1 species